AGAACGAACGCUGGCGGCAUGCCUAACACAUGCAAGUCGAACGAGACCUUCGGGUCUAGUGGCGCACGGGUGCGUAACGCGUGGGAAUCUGCCCUUGGGUUCGGAAUAACAGCGAGAAAUUGCUGCUAAUACCGGAUGAUGACGUAAGUCCAAAGAUUUAUCGCCCAAGGAUGAGCCCGCGUAGGAUUAGCUUGUUGGUGAGGUAAGAGCUCACCAAGGCGACGAUCCUUAGCUGGUCUGAGAGGAUGAUCAGCCACACUGGGACUGAGACACGGCCCAGACUCCGUACGGGAGGCAGCGAGUGGGGGAAUAUUGGACAAUGGGCGAAAGCUGAUCCAGCAAUGCCGCGUGAGUGAUGAGGUCCUUAGGGUUGUAAAA
rnacentral:rRNA from 1 species